ACCAGACUCCUACGGGAGGCAGCAGUGAGGAAUAUUGGUCAAUGGUCGGGAGACUGAACCAGCCAAGCCGCGUGAGGGAUGAAGGUACAGAGUAUCGUAAACCUCUUUUGUCAGGGAACAAAGGCGGGGACGUGUCCCCGGAUGAGUGUACCUGAAGAAAAAGCAUCGGCUAACUCCGUGCCAGCAGCCGCGGUAAUACGGAGGAUGCGAGCGUUAUCCGGAUUUAUUGGGUUUAAAGGGGCGGCAGGCGGCGUGUAAGGCCGGCGGGAAACGCGGGGGCCCACCCCCGGGCCCGCCGUUGAAACUGGCAGUCUCGAGUUGGAGAGAAGUAUGCGGAAUGCGCGGUGUAGCGGUGAAAUGCAUAGAUAUCGCGCAGAACUCCGAUUGCGAAGGCAGCAUGCCGGCUCCACACUGACGCUGAGGCACGAAAGCGUGGGUAUCGAACAGGAUUAGAUACCCCCGUAA
rnacentral:rRNA from 1 species